AGGCAGGCCUGUAUUGCUGGUGUUUUUAUUUUGUUUUGUUUUUUUUGGUCUUCAGUUCCUCUGUAGAUGAAUUUCCUGGACAAGGUUGUUCCCUCUGUUGCAGUUUGCUGUGAAUAUCACGCACAUUGUGUCCAAUCUUCUCUGCCAUUCCUCUGACUUAAUUUUCUACACUUGGUGCACAAUUCUAAGCCAGUAAUCCCAUGGGUCUGGCAGGACAGUGCUAGGCCAUCC